AUUGAACGCUGGCGGCAGGCUUAACACAUGCAAGUCGAGCGGGGGAAGGUAGCUUGCUACCGGACCUAGCGGCGGACGGGUGAGUAACACGUGGAUAACCUACCUAUAAGACUGGGAUAACUUCGGGAAACCGGAGCUAAUACCGGAUAAUAUAUUGAACCGCAUGGUUCAAUAGUGAAAGACGGUUUUGCUUUCACUUAUAGAUGGAUCCGCGCCGCAUUAGCCAGUUGGUAAGGUAAGGUCUUACCAAGGCAACGAUGCGUAGCCGACAUGAGAGGGUGAUCGGCCACACUGGAACUGAGACACGGUCCAGACUCCUAGGGGAGGCAGCAGUAGGGAAUCUUCCGCAAUGGGCGAAAGCCUGACGGAGCAACGCCGCGUGAGUGAUGAAGGUCUUCGGAUCGUAAAACUCUGUUAUUAGGGAAGAACAAAUGUGUAAGUAACUAUGCACGUCUUGACGGUACCUAAUCAGAAAGCCACGGCUAACUACGUGCCAGCCGCCGCCGUAA
rnacentral:rRNA from 1 species